UACGGAGGGAGCAAGCGUUACUCGGAAUUAUUGGGCGUAAAGGGCGCGUAGGCGAUUCGAUAAGUCUCAUGUGAAAUCCCAGGGCCUAACCCUGGAAUGGCAUGGGAUACUGUUGGAUUUGAGUUCCGGAGAGGAAGGCAGAAUUCCCGGUGUAGCGGUGAAAAUGCGUAGAUAUCGGGAGGAAUACCAGUGGCGAAGGGCGGCCCUUCU
rnacentral:rRNA from 1 species